CUGGCGUAGGGCGGCACACACAGGGCAGCUGCUGGCCGGAUAGCCCUAUGUGUCAAUCAUAGCUCAGUGACGUCUGGGAGAGGCAUGUCGGAUCAGCACCGAUCGGAACCAACUGGCCCCACCUACAGAACACUGCAGAUGUUCUGUUCCCCAGUGACUGGUACUUCCGGGAUUGGGACCAUGAUGUCACUCAGGUGAGACAACGCUGCCGCUGCUGAUUGGAUGAGUGGGACGCCAGGUCACCAAACUCGGAAGCGCUGGACAGUGGGAAAAAGAGCUCUGUUAUAUUGGCAAUGACAGGGGCCACAGAAGGUUUUAGAAAAAAAAAAAAUGUCUUCCCUAGACAACCAGCAGCAAGUUCAUCCAGUACUUAUCAGGAAUCAGCACCGGCCACGGCUAAUGCUGAGGAUUUACCCAUAAUUGCGGGAUGUACGUGGACAAGUCACUGUGGGAACUCCAGGACCGGUCUGCGAUCAUCAUCAACGCAGCGCUAGACUUAGCAGCUAGUGGUGCGUGUAAGAAUGGGCUACGAAAUAAAAAUGAGCAGAAGCGGCAUCUGUUCUUUAUUUUAACUAAUUCAUCAUCAUCUGAUCUGGUUGUGGCUUCAAAAUGCCCUGUGUUAGAGCACCAUUACAGGAUCUAAUAGAUACCCUAAAACCCACAUCCCGGCAGGGAUUAUUGUCCCUGCUAAGCACCCCCACCAACCCGAAUGCUCAUCAUCCUAGUGAUUUAUAUGGUGGAGGAUUUUGUUUGAAGUUGGACCCUUGUCAAAUGUUUAGUGUCAUUAUGAAGCAAAUCCUUUGGAAAUGAACUGCGGACGACAGGUUUUCAUCAUGCACCGAAGAUAAUCUGUUUAGACAUAAAUAUGCUUGAGGGAACUUAGACAUGCGGUAGCUUAGGCUGCAACUGGGCUGAAACAGCAGUUCUCACUAUGGAAUUGGACCAAAUGGACACUUUUCAAUAGAUUCAAGCUUUGUCUGCAAUUGGCGGCUGCGUUCUGCCAAAAAAAAAAGGAAAAUUUAGCAUAUUCGUGUCUUAGAUGAAUUUAGUUGUAUAGAUGCUUAACUCCAUCAUGGCUGGUGGCCUUACUGUC